GCCUAGUGCAGCUCCCAGACCUCGCAGAGCAGCGCGGUCAGCCUCGGGUCCUUCGUCCGCCACGUCACCAGCACCUCGGCGUGGGUAUGCAGUACUGCUCUGAGCACCGUGCAGAAAGGUACGGAUGAAUCUGUGCCUCUUACCUUUACAACCUUCACAAGUGCAGCAUGCAGAGGAUUUCUGCAAGUUUCCAUGCUUUCCAUGGGUCUGUGGCAUCAUGCACAGCAAAAUGGCAUUGCCCUUCAAAG